UUUUUUUUCCCUUUCUUCAUUCUUUUGGGUUUUACAUUUUCUUGUCCUUUUCUUUAAUUAUUUCCUUUUAUAUUAUUCUGCAUAUUAUUUUAUUUCCUUUAUAUUUAUUAUUUGUUUCUAUUUUUUGUUUUGUUUUCUUUUCUGUUUUCCUUUUCUACUAGGAAAUUCUAACUUUUCAUUUAUUUUAUUGUUUCCAUUUUUAUUAUCUUUUAUGCUUAUUUUAUUUUUUAUUUUUAGUAACAAUUUUUUUGUAUAUUUUGUUUGCUAGUAAGAAUAAUUUAUUCAAUUAGUUUUCUUUAUUGUUUCACUCUAGCACUACUUUAAAAAUCAUUUGUGCAUACGAUCAUUCUAUUUUUUUUUACAACGGUGCUUAAUAACAACCGUCUCUAGUAAGGGUUCCAAAAAUACAAGUAUCUAUAGAGGUGGGCCACAUAAUUAAGUAAUUGUCUGAAAAUCAAUUCGAAAGGCACGCCACCUAAGCUACCACUACUAGAAAUUGACUUCUAGAGGCAGGCCUAAUAAGCAACUGCCUCUAAAAAUGUAAACAACCAAUUUUAAACAAAAAUAAUAGCCUUUAUUUAAUGAAGAAGAAUGAAGACAAAUUUACUAGCAUAACUAUAGAGCUCGAUGACAUCUAAAACUUCAUAGUUCAUAAACUUUUCAUUUAAGACUAUUUACAGGCCCAAAUAAAAUUCAUCACC
rnacentral:lncRNA from 1 species